GUUCAUAGGCCAGUUUGGCCUGACCUCCAUAGACAUAAUAUAUGGAUAGACGCCUCAUGGGCCGCUCUCGCCUAUUGGAGCUGACGAGAUUUAGGGCGGCCAUCUUGGAGCGGUAUACCACUCCACUCAGCCUUAUAUAUUUGGCAGGCACAAUAAAGGAUCAGCGCAUUUAAUAGAUCAUAACACGCUGAAUAGUAAUCACAUUGUCACAUAAUUAAAUUUUAGGCAUACAGCUAUUAAAAUUGCAUGUAUAGGAACGUAUAGUUUAACAUAUUUAAAUAAUUUUGGUGGAAUACAAUGUUUUAAAGUAUGACAUGUUUUGCAAGAUACAACCAAAGAUGCAAUUUAUUCACACACAUUAUGUAUAUAUUCCGAUAAUCUCAUAUAUACACACAUACACACAUGCAUACUUAUCUGUUGUGACAGUAUUUACAUAUUCAUUACAUUUUUACACAAUCUAAUAGCCUUAUA